rnacentral:rRNA from 1 species
CAUGCCGUAAACGAUGUCUACUAGCCGUUGGGGUCUUUGAGACCUUAGUGGCGCAGCUAACGCGAUAAGUAGACCGCCUGGGGAGUACGGUCGCAAGACUAAAACUCAAAUGAAUUGACGGGGGCCCGCACAAGCGGUGGAGCAUGUGGUUUAAUUCGAUGCAACGCGAAGAACCUUACCUGGCCUUGACAUACUAAGAACUUUCCAGAGAUGGAUUGGUGCCUUCGGGAACUUAGAUACAGGUGC